ACAUGCCUACAACAUAGUGUUAAUUCAUCAGAUCCCAUUAGAAAUUCGCAGUUAAGCGUGCUCGGGCUAGAGUAGUGUUGGGAUGGGUGACCACCGGGAAGUCCUAGUGUUUUACAUGCU
rnacentral:rRNA from 1 species